rnacentral:lncRNA from 1 species
UUGGAUCAUGAGGGCAGAAUUCCCCCUUGGUAUUGUCUUGGUAACAGUGAGUAAGUUCUCAUGAGAUACGAUUGUUUAAAAGUGUGUAGCACCUCCCCAUUCUCUAUCUUCCUCCUGCUCCAGCUAUUUCCAGAGGCUUCCAGCAUUCCUUGGCUCGUGACCCCUUCCUCCAUCUUCAAAGCCAGCAAUGGCUGAUCAAGUCUUCUUAGGAUAUGUCACCCAGACACAGAUUCUUCUGCUUCCCUCUUCCACAUUUAAAGGAACUAUGCAAUUACAUGGGUCCGCCUGAAUAAUCCAGAAUAUCUCCCUUAAAGUCAGCUGAUCAGCAACCUUCAUUUCAUUGGCAACCUUAUUUCCACCUUUCCAUACAACAUAAUAUUCACAGGCUCCAAGGAGCAGGAUAUCGACAUCUUUGAGGGUCAAGAUUCUACCUCCCAUAGUAUGCAUAUAUUCUGAAAGUGUUUUUAAAACUUCUACUACAAACACUUUAUAUAAUAAUAAAACAAAAUCAAGCUUCUUUCUUUCUAUGUAGCAGAUCUGAUUUCUUGUUAGCCUUAUAA